rnacentral:rRNA from 1 species
CUACGGGACGCUCCAGUGAGGAAUUUUGCGCAAUGGGGGGAACCCUGACGCAGCAACGCCGCGUGAGUGAUGAAGGCUUUCGGGUCGUAAAGCUCUGUCAAGUGGGAAGAACCUAUGCAGUGUUAAUAUCACUGUAUACUGACGGUACCACUGAAGGAAGCACCGGCUAACUCCGUGCCAGCAGCCGCGGUAAUACGGGGGGUGCAAGCGUUAUUCGGAAAUCAUUGGGCGUAAAGGGCACGUAGGCGGCUUGGUAAGUCAGAUGUGAAAGCCCGGGGCUUAACCCCGGAAGUGCAUUUGAUACUGUCAGGCUUGAGUAUGGGAGAGGGAAGUGGAAUUCCUGGUGUAGAGGUGAAAUUCGUAGAUAUCAGGAGGAACACCGGUGGCGAAGGCGACUUCCUGGACCAAUACUGACGCUGAGGUGCGAAGGCGUGGGUAGCAAACAGGAUUAGAUACCCUAGUAGUC